AGGUGUUGGAGCUGGUAAGAAGAAUCUUCUAGAAUGGUGUAUGGAGCAAUUAGGAACAACAUUUGAUUUUGGAAAAUCUCUGAGUGAAAACCUCUGUCAGGGUGAUUGGUUUGUCAAACUGUUAGAAAAAGCAGCCCAAGGGAGCUCACCAAGGCAUGAAAUGAAAACAGAGUAUAUUGAUACACUUCUUACUGAGAUUCAAAAUCGUUACGGCAUCAGGAAAGAAAUCUUAAAGUAAAGAUCAUUAAAAAUUAAAUAAUAUAUAAGG
rnacentral:sRNA from 1 species